GGAGGAAUACCCAAGUGGCUGAAGGGGCUGGCUUGGAAAGCUAGUAGACUGUAAUAGGUGCGAGGGUUCGAAUCCCUCUUCCUCCGCCA
rnacentral:tRNA from 1 species